rnacentral:rRNA from 2 species
ACGUCAGCGGCGGACGGGUGAGUAACACGUGGGAAACCUGCCUCACAGACUGGGAUAACUCCGGGAAACCGGGGCUAAUACCGGAUAAUCAAAGGAACCGCAUGGUUCCCUUGUAAAAGUUGGGUUUUACCUAACACUGUGAGAUGGGCCCGCGGCGCAUUAGCUUGUUGGUGAGGUAGUGGCUCACCAAGGCGACGAUGCGUAGCCGACCUGAGAGGGUGAUCGGCCACACUGGGACUGAGACACGGCCCAGACUCCUACGGGAGGCAGCAGUAGGGAAUCAUCCGCAAUGGGCGAAAGCCUGACGGUGCAACGCCGCGUGAGUGAUGACGGUCUUCGGAUUGUAAAGCUCUGUUGUCAGGGAAGAACAAGUGCCGUGCGAAUAGAGCGGCACCUUGACGGUACCUGACCAGAAAGCCCCGGCUAACUACGUGCCAGCAGCCGCGGUAAUACGUAGGGGGCAAGCGUUGUCCGGAAUUAUUGGGCGUAAAGCGCGCGCAGGCGGUUCUUUAAGUCUGAUGUGAAAGCCCACGGCUCAACCGUGGAGGGUCAUUGGAAACUGGGGAACUUGAGUGUAGGAGAGGAAAGUGGAAUACCAAGUGUAGCGGUGAAAUGCGUAGAUAUUUGGUGGAACACCAGUGGCGAAGGCGACUUUCUGGCCUACAACUGACGCUGAGGCGCGAAAGCGUGGGGAGCAAACAGGAUUAGAUACCCUGGUAGUCCACGCCGUAAACGAUGAGUGCUAGGUGUUAGGGGUUUCGAUACCCUUAGUGCCGAAGUUAACACAUUAAGCACUCCGCCUGGGGAGUACGGCCGCAAGGCUGAAACUCAAAGGAAUUGACGGGGGCCCGCACAAGCAGUGGAGCAUGUGGUUUAAUUCGAAGCAACGCGAAGAACCUUACCAGGUCUUGACAUCCUCUGACAACCCUAGAAAUAGGGCGUUCCCCUUCGGGGGACAGAGUGACAGGUGGUGCAUGGUUGUCGUCAGCUCGUGUCGUGAGAUGUUGGGUUAAGUCCCGCAACGAGCGCAACCUUUGACCUUAGUUGCCAGCAUUUAGUUGGGCACUCUAAGGUGACUGCCGG